GUGGAUCUUGACUUCCGUAAGGGCUAAGGAGAGUAUGUGGAACCAAGAGACCAUCUUGUAAGGAUUUGACCUACUUACAAAUGGAGAAUUAGGCUGAGCUCUGAAGGCUGAGAGGGAAGAAGAGACAGGCAGUGGGAACAGCUUUGGAGAAAGCCUGUCGCUGCUCAUCCCUACCAAAUCCUCUUCCAUUUGCUGGCCAGGGAUUCUAGUUUUUCUAGCAGAAGUCAAGGCUUAGGCCAUGGAUUUCAAGUGCACCACAUCCUUUAACCUGGUAACAGUGACUUAGAAAUAUUCAGACUAAGUGGUAAAUAAUUGGCAUAGUUCAUUCCUGGGAACAGGCUUUAUUAGAGAGGAGAAGGGGCAUUUAACAUCUGAAGGCGGGAGAUUGUGGGGAACAGGAUCCUCCAUGGUCUGUGGAUGUGUCCCUAGGAUGAUGUGCUCACUCUGCAUGGUGCCACGAGUGGACCCUGAGGGCUUGUGGGAAGAGCCCACGCUCCCAGGUGUCAGUUGGCUGGCCCAACAAGCUGCUCUUUCCUUCUUUGGGACCUCAGUGCUUCCAUAAACUUUGGAGACCAGGCAGUUCUAGAAACCCAGCACCUCCCUCCUCCCUUUCACUGGCACUGGUCACAAAUUAAAAGCGGCCAUUGGGUUUCAUGGCUUGAUGGCCUUGUAAUUGUUAUUGGAACUUGCCUUGGAUGGAUUUAUGGUAAUGAACUCACCUAAUAGCAAAUCCGUCACGGGCCUCUUUGCAGACAGGAUCUUUCCUGAGUGAAGAUAUUAGAAAACCAUUCUGCAGAGGAAAAGCAAUACUGACUGGUGAUUUCAAGUUUAGGAAAAACACCACUGUUUGGGUUUUUCUGUUGGCCUCUAACUUUAAACACUUCAUUGGCCAGUUGCUAACCAACACAGUUUUUGGCCAGGGCCCUGUUUAUGUUGGCACCAAAUGUAUGUAUCACAAGCAGUUUGUGUGUUUCUGGGCAUGUGUGUAUGAGUCUGUAUAUGUUACAAACUCCAAAACUUUUGAACACAAUGUUUUGUACUCUUUUUUGCAGAUUCUUCUGGCCAAGAAAAGAGGCCACUAGCAGCUCAGUGUCGGGUUUCCAGCGGACAGAAAGGCAAGCUUUGCUGCUCUGGAACGUGAAAGCCAACUUCUGACUCUCAGGCCUCCUGACCCAACCCAACAUCAGAGCGAAAGGCAGACUUCACAGGCUGGCACCCUCCCUCUCCCAAAUCCCCAAGUUUUCCCAAGCCUGUGAAUCAUGAAUCAAGAAGCAUUUCCUUGGAGACUGAGAGUUCGGAUCAACAGUGAAUCCUAGAAGAAAGAAGGUCGUUUUCCCUCAAACUCCCGUUUCUUUGGAAAGUUAGAAGUUGGAUCUUCUGCCUAAUAAAGGAUUGUUAUUUAAUUGUGAGUCA
rnacentral:lncRNA from 1 species